rnacentral:antisense_RNA from 1 species
CUCCCUCCCUGCUUUCCCUUCCUCCCUGCCUUCCUUCUUCCUUCCUCUCUUUUUUCUUUUCUCCCUUCCUUCCUUCUUAAUAUGUUUUUGGCCUUUUCUUUAUAUAUGUGGCCUAUCAAUAUCAUGUGUUUGGAAAAGCAUAAACUUAAGGCAUCACCUUUACAGAAAAUAUCUUCCAUGGAAACAUCUAAAGGCAAAAAUCCUUCAAAUUCAAAUUUAUCCAAUCAUUUCUUCUGCUUACUACCAUCCUAAAUCAUUUUUCUUUAGUAAGAUCUAUUAGUGUGAAGCUAUUAAGCUAUUAAUGUAAGUAUCAUAUUAAUGUAUUAAGAUAUUAAGUGAGGAAGUAAAGUUGCAUUCAUAGGCCUUGAACUUUUCCACAUCUCGAUUUUUACCCAUCAUCUCUGCAUAUUUUCCUAAGGCAGCCUUCAAAUGGUGAUGUUUCCUGUCAUCCAGAGUUCAGAAGUGCCUUCUCUUCAACCUUUCUGUGGAAUUCUAAACCACGUGAUAAAGGAGCUGGUGCUGUCCUGGGUGGCAUGAGAACCAUGAGCUGAGGAUUGGACAAGCUUGCUCUACAAUAUUCAAAGGCCACAGAUCAGCCCUGGGGUUCAGAGGGAUCCUGACGGCUACUCCUCAAGAUCCUCUCUGUUGUGAUUCAUCCCCCCCAGGCCCUACAGUUUCUCCUU